rnacentral:siRNA from 1 species
UAGGUGGAGAGGCCUAUAUCUU